GUCAAUGGCGGCGGAUCUGAUGGGAAUCACCGUUGCGGCACAGUCGACGGGGAGGAAUAUGUCAUCCUUUGGUGAAGUCUCGGCUGGCCCAAGAAUUAAAAGGAAGGCAUUAUAUUUCCCCUAUUUUGGCCUGCUGUAAUAAGCCAUUAACGCACCAACACUGUCGGAACCAUUCGUAUUCGCAACCACGUUGCAGCCGUUCCAGAUUCUCCCUGACCGGCAUUUCGAAAAUUUCCAUUCCGCUGAAACCGUGCUCCAAAGUCAGAAAGCGCAACACAGACAGAUCCGUGAAUGUUUCCGGCUCCAGAAAGUGUAGCGUUGUGUUCAGGAACUGGAUAAUCCGGAGCUUGCUGGAUGCCAGAAUUCACCCCACCUGACUUCCAAAUUUUUAACAGUCAGUGGAGCAAAAUUCCAGCAGAUUCGGCAUGCGCAGUGCUGACAGUUUGCCCGUGGUGCGCGAUGGCUGCCACAGGUAGAGCUGCAUACUAACCGUCUGGUCGCGCACUGGAGAAAGGACGUCUUGACGCGCGUUCCUCAAGCGGAAAACUCAAAGGACACUGCAUUUGGUGCCAUGGAAAUCUCCUUUGCGCAAAACCAUAUCGGCACCCUGAUGGGAGGAAUUUACACUGAAGCAUCGUUGCGCCACCGACGCUACGCACGAUGUCCCGCGGUAACGCAUUGUCGCAAUGACAGCAAGUGCCCCAGCGGAUGUCGGUGUCGACGAAACGUCAGUAGUAUGUGCACUGGUCCGGCAGCAUCUCUGAUUGGUCAGACACGCCUCCUCUCUGAUUGGUCAGACACGCCUCCUCUCUGAUUGGUCAGACACGCCUCCUCUCUGAUUGGCCAGACGCGCCCCUCGCUCUGAUUGGUCGAAACCGAGACUGAGGCCGAGACAGGGCCGCUAGUCCGGCAGCAUCUCUGAUUGGUCGAAACCGAGACUGAGGCCGAGACAGGGCCGCUAGUCUGGCUGCCUACUCUGCUUGGCUGACUCCACCUCCAAUACCGAGACUGAGCCCGAAACAGGACCGCUAGUCUGGCUGCUUGCUCUUAAGCCGAGACUGAGACCGAGGCAGGACCGCUAGUCUGUCUGCUUGCUCUUAAACCGAGACUGAGGCCGAGACAGGACCGCUGAUAUGGCAGCCCACCGUGAAGAUUACUUGGUCGGCGGUUACCUAACCCGUGCACCAUUGAAUCAGACCAAUUAGACCAAUUAUCACAAUAAUCGCAUUGUUUGUUAUCCAAAUAACCACAGACAAACUUCAUCCAGCAGUUUUCCAAUGGUACCGAGAAGUUCGCGUAAGCGUCAAAUAUACAAAACUAGUUUUUGAAUAACGGCUUAUCAAGACGACAAAUGCAUAGGCCAUUGUUUCGCUUGCCAACGACCAAACGAACGGUGACGUGUGGAAAAUUGCAUAGGACGAGGCUUUGCUUUACCGCUUAGAAACAAAGUACAUCGAUACACUGUCCAAAUACAGCGUCUACGACGUCACUGGCGCUCCAUCGCCAGUCGAGUUCUUUCGCCAGCGGAAUUUCAACAUCUGUUCGAUGCCAAACCGGACGGUUCUGGGCUGAAGAAGGCCAUGGACAAAGGAGUUCGCCUGGUGUAUGCCGAUAUCAACUGUUUGUUGGGGAUGAUUAGAAACGGGACACUGCAGGAUUGUAUGGACCGGGCCAUUAUCGACAAGGGUGCUGAAAAGUUUUCUCUGCCGGGUCAGGGCUGUGUGGAUGUUACUGUCAGCAUCCACCCGAAAUACGGACGCAUGAUCCGUUUCUCUUAACCUCGGCGCACCAUUCAACUACGAUAUCAGGGAUUUAUCAAUCUCAUGGAGGAAAUCUACAUCCAGCACUGGG